UGCGCUCCGAAGAUCAGUUCAAGCUGAGAUCGCGUCGCGUUUGCUUCGACUACGGCCUACGACUUCGGUGUGCAUUGGAGAGCCAGCCGAUCUGUCCGAUCGGUAAACUGUCGGUCCGACAAUACAACAGCAGAAUCGUACACACGAAAAUCGCGCAAUAAAUUCCACUAUUUUUAGCAUAUUACUGCUCUGUGCAACAAACAGUUCAAGUGAAGUGUAAUGAAAUGUGUGCAGCGGCAGCAGGGGCACACUAACAACCUGUCGCUCUGGCUGG